rnacentral:rRNA from 1 species
UGGGGAAUCUUGCGCAAUGGGCGAAAGCCUGACGCAGCGACGCCGCGUGUGCGAUGAAGGUCUUCGGAUCGUAAAGCACUGUCGCGAGGGAAAAAGAAAGUGAUGGUACCUCGAGAGGAAGCACCGGCUAACUCUGUGCCAGCAGCCGCGGUAAUACAGAGGGUGCGAGCGUUGUUCGGAAUUAUUGGGCGUAAAGCGCUGGUAGGUGGCUUGUUAAGUCGCGUGUGAAAGCUCCAGGCUCAACCUGGAAAGUGCGCGCGAAACUGGCGAGCUUGAGUGCGGGAGAGGGUCGCGGAAUUCCCGGUGUAGAGGUGAAAUUCGUAGAUAUCGGGAGGAACACCAGAGGCGAAGGCGGCGACCUGGAACGUGACUGACACUGAGCAGCGAAAGCGUGGGGAGCAAACAG